rnacentral:lncRNA from 13 species
GGCUGGAGUGCAGUGUGAAACUCCUGGGCUCAAAUGAUCCUCCCACCUCAGCCUCCCGAGCAGCUGGGACUGCAGUGUCAGCAUCAUGCCCAGCUCACUUGUUUCUUUUUUUUUUUUACUUUUUUUUUUUUUUUUUUGACAGGGUCUCGCUCUGUCGUCCAGGUUGGAGUACAAUGGCAUGAUCAUGGCUCACUGCAGCCUUGAUCUCCUGGGCUCUAAGGAUCCUUCCACCUUGGCUUCCUGAGUAUAGCUAGGACUACAGGCCUGUGUCACUAUGCCUGGCUAACUUUUGUAUUUUUUGGUACAGACGGGGUAUCCCCAUGUUCUCCAGGCUGGCCUCAAACUCCUAGACUCAAGCAAUCCUUCUGCCGCUGCCUCUCAAAGUGUUGGGAUUACAGGUGUGAGCCACUGCAUCUGGUCUCUUUUGCUAGUCUUGAAAGAGAACUAAUCAGUCUGGAGAGAUAAUCAGUCUGUGAUUAAUACAUCCAUUUUCUGGUCUGAGCAACUGAGGUUCAGAGAGGUCAACUGACUUGCCCAAGAUCACACAAGCAGGUGGCAAGUCUGGGACUCACCCUCAGAACUGCCUCACCCUCAAGCUGUGCUGUGUGUGCUUCAUCAGGCUGUCGCCACAGAUCAGAUGGAAGAGAAUUUUUCCAUGUGGGGUAGGAUUGUCAGGUAAAAUACAGGAUGCCUCCUUAAAUCUGAAUUUCAGAUACCAAAAAUUUUUUUUGGUAUAUCUCAUAUACACUUGCUGCAUGGGACACCCUUAUACUAAAAAAUUGUGUUGGUCACUGAAAUUCAAAUGUAACUGAGUAUCUUGCAUUUUUAUUUGCUAAACCUAGUAACCCUAAUUUAGAGGAAAAAUCAUAAUUUAGUGGUCACUGAAGCCCCCUAGAGGGACAGCGGUUUCCUGAGAUCACAAGGGGAGUUACUGGCAAAUCCAGGAUUGGACCCAGUCUUCCUGUUCCUCAGUCCUGACCCUCUUGGGGUGGCUGUGAAGCCAUCUGAAGUCCCUGGAGCAGGGCAUGGUGGUAAGAACAGCUGCUUUCUCUCUGCAGAGGCUGCCCACAUGGCCUAUCGCCUCCCCAGCUGUCUCACUGGGCAAAACCAAGAAGUGAAUCCCUGCAUGGAGGAGAUGAGAAGAGCGAGGUCACAACAAUUUAGAGAAGACGGUGUUGAUUGAGAUUUUUCAGACAGGGAGCAC